UACAGAGGGGGCAAGCGUUGUUCGGAAUUACUGGGCGUAAAGGGCUCGUAGGCGGCCAACUAAGUCAGACGUGAAAUCCCUCGGCUUAACCGGGGAACUGCGUCUGAUACUGGAUGGCUUGAGUUUGGGAGAGGGAUGCGGAAUUCCAGGUGUAGCGGUGAAAUGCGUAGAUAUCUGGAGGAACACCGGUGGCGAAGGCGACAUCCUGGACCAACACUGACGCUGAGGAGCGAAAGCCAGGGGAGCAAACGGG
rnacentral:rRNA from 1 species